rnacentral:rRNA from 1 species
UACGUAGGGUGCAAGCGUUAAUCGGAAUUACUGGGCGUAAAGCGUGCGCAGGCGGUUUUGCAAGACAGAUGUGAAAUCCCCGGGCUUAACCUGGGAACUGCAUUUGUGACUGCAAGGCUAGAGUGUGUCAGAGGGAGGUGGAAUUCCGCGUGUAGCAGUGAAAUGCGUAGAGAUGCGGAGGAACACCGAUGGCGAAGGCAGCCUCCUGGGAUAACACUGACGCUCAUGCACGAA